GAAUUCAACUGUUACAGGCGCCUAACCAAGCUAUACAACUCAUUGUUGUGGGAAAGAUGGAAGUGCCCUUUCAUUAUUUUUUUAAUUUCCUGUACUCAAAACGUGCAUGUGCAACCGCUAUAACAACAUUUAGUUUACAGUGCACAUUUAACUGCGUGUAUUGGUUGUUUCUACGUAUACAUAAACUUUCUAUAUCUCAGUCACUCUAACGAAAACGGUGGAAGAGUGAUAAGAGAGUCCAGUAAAUCACUAAGAUUUUUAUCUUGAAUACACCUGUAUAUUUAUUAUACUUAAUCCAUUUCUCUUUUAGAAGCAUUAUAGUUUUGAUGGGCCUGUUUUAAAUUAAAUAAAGAUUAAACGUUGCGUUGAAGAGGGGAAAUCUUAUCUUUAUAAGCGUGAUACCGCUCUGGACCGAGCAAAGUGGGGUGCUCUUGUGUUGGAGGCCAAGACUCAUUUUCGGUCAUCGCGCCAGUACUUACUUAUUUAGGUAAGUACUUAUCUUCAUAAAUAUGUCGGCCCUAAAGGAAUAGACCUGCAUGUAUUAAGAAUAUAUUAAUAGAGCUUCGUUGAAUUGUUGUAGUAAGGCAGUCCAUAACCUAAAACUUUGAACACAUAGUCAUGUUAUUUACACUCAUAUAUUCCCCAUAUAACUUAUUGGUAUAAUUUUCUAGUCAAUAUUUUCUUCUGUAUUGAGCGAUAUUUAAUUUAAGUAGGUAUUUUUAAUAACAAUUUAGAAAAUCUGGACUUUCUGACCUGUAUCACAUAAUAAAUAAUAGUACUAGGUACAGAAGACUCACUCUCUAACAAAACGCGUCUGUUACGAUCAGGACAGAUAUGGCCGCUAGGUGGCGACAGCGCCACGCGCGGCUUAUGGCUAGCCACCAAAAUUGGUGUGGAACGGAUGUACUUUUAGCUACCUGUAGCAUAGCGACGAAAUCGCGGAGUGAGCCACGCCUGCCUGUAUCGACCAUUCAUGCGUGGUGGUAAUAAAUCGUGGGUUCAAACCUCGGUUGUGCUGUAUACUGUAUAUGUAGAGCAAAAUAAAUCCUUCUAAAGAAAAAAAUCAGGAUCCUUAUCAAUUAUCAUACACAGUCAAGUAUUGUGAUACUUUAUCGUGAACAGAUUAUUUGUCGAUUUAUUUAUUUCAUAUUUGGUAUGUAUUUGGUAUAGAAAGACAGGUAAAGUUCGCUUUGUCUCAUAACUGUUUCAAAUAUUCUAAAAAGUGAAAUAUGUGUGGUAAACCCUAUGACCACAUAUAGUUAUGCAAAUACGUAUAGAUAACACGGUUCAGUGCUCAACUACCUCACAGUGCUGCUUUCUUUUUCAUUUAGUCUUUUAAUGUUUUUAUAUAAAAUAGUUAACAUCGAGCCUAUUUGGUGUAUAUAUCGAAAAAACAGUGCAUCCAAAAAAUACGAAUCUAUGACUAUUCAAGCUAUAUAUUAUACUUUAUUCUCGAUCUAUAGUCUAACGCAGCUAAGAAGUCAAUUGACCCUUAUAUGUGUCGCUUAACUUCAAACUCGGGUAAAUCCAUCUGUCAGAUAAUGCGAUUUUGGUAUUAAGAAAAGGUAAUAGGGUAGAUAUUUGCUGAGAGGGUCGAAUGGAUUUACCCUAGUUUGAAGUUAAGCGACACAUAUAUAUGUCACUAAGGCUAUCAGUUAAACGAUAGGCUUUAGCUUCGUAAAUAUAAGGGUCUAUUCAACAUAACUGUCAAAAUAGACUUCUUAACUUACAGCGACUAUAGUUAUACCAAUAGGGUAACCUAUCCAAUGAUUUAUAGUAGAACUCUAGCCCCUAUUUUUGACAUAAAUCACCACUUCUAGGUACCUCAAAAUAAGUUUUAAGGGGCCAGUCAUCGAAGAGGAACUGACAUUAGUAUAGUUUACCCUAAGUAAAGUCUUACAGUGUACAUAGUUAUAUAGAAGCGGACGAAUAUAGAAAAUGGAAUUAUGCUAUGUAACUAACAUACACGACUUUUCAUUCGAAUGAUUUCUAGAAUAACAUGUAAAAUUUAAAAUUUAAAGCCCCCAAAGCAAUGAAACAGGUAAACCGAUUUUGAAAAAUUAUGUCUAAGAACCAGCGCUAGAAAUCUGCUUUCAAAUAAGAAAAUGCAUCCACAUCGGUUUACUCAUUUAAGUGCUACAGUGCCAUAGAUAGACACCCAUCUUUUUGCGCUGGGGGCUUAAAAAUAAUAUAACCAAUAAAUAAAAGCACAAAUUAAAAUAGGUCAGUCAGUUUCAUCGAUACUAAAAGAAAAAAAAAAACAACCAAAAAUACAGUGUCAUAGUUUAUUGAAAAACUUACUGCAUAAAAACAUUUUAACUUAGCAUCAGAUCUAAGCGUUGUACUUAUAAAAUAAAUUCUUGAGUUGUUUGCACAAACAAAUGGCAAUUAUUAUAAAAUGAAUUAGUUAAUAAAACGUCAGAUGUAUAAAAAUCCCAGUUUUUGUUCAGUUGUUUAAAUUAUUAAUUAUUUCACAAGAGGGCGAUGUAUUGACUAAUAAAAAAAUAUUAUUAUAUAACAAGAACUCUAAUUAAAAACAUUUUUUGUCCAAACACCCAAGGUAAACAAUUUUCUUUAUAAGAAAAUAUGACAAUUGUGACUUACUUACGUUAAUAUUUUUCUUCAAUAAGUUAUUUAAAAAUAAAAAUUCAUUUUUCCAACAACUUUGAUUUCUGGAAUGGACAGUGUUAGAUACCUUUCGUCUUUUAAAUAAAAUUAUCAAAGAUAAUUUCAAAGUAUAUCAAUUAAUAAUUUUAUUUAAACGACGAACGGCGAAAUAAAAAAGCAUCUACCUUCUGCACCAUAGAGUCAACAAUU